rnacentral:lncRNA from 1 species
GCAUUUCAGUCACAUUGUGUCUGUAGCAGAGACUCUUCCUAUAACUCUCUCAGGAAUGGAUUAUCACAUCCGACCAGCUGAGCCCAGGGACUCCCCCAACAUUAUGGUCAUGAUCCGGGUACAGUGACACUAUCACACACUGCGUACACUGCACACUGACACUGUCACACACUGCGUACACUGCACACUGACACUGUCACACACUGCGUACACUGCACACUGACACUGUCACACACUGCGUACACUGCACACUGACACAGUCACACACUGCAUACACUGCACACUGACACCGUCACACACUGCGUACACUGCACACUGACACCAUCACACACUGCGUACACUGCACACUGACACCGUCACACACUGCGUACACUGCACACUGACACUGUCACACACUGCAUACACUGACACCGUCACCAACUGCGUACACUGCACACUGACACUGUCACACACUGCGUAUACUGCACACUGACACUGUCACACACUGCAUACACUGCACACUGACACCAUCACACACUGCGUACACUUCACACUGACACCAUCACAUACUGCGUACACUGCACACUGACACUGUCACACACUGCGUAUACUGCACACUGACACUGUCACACACUGCGUACACUGACACUGUCACACACUGCGUACACUGCACACUGACACUGUCACACACUGUGUACACUGCACACUGACACCAUCACACACUGCGUACACUGCACACUGACACCGUCACACACUGCGUACACUGCACAUUGACACUGUCACACACUGCGCACACUUCACACUGACACUGUCACACACUGCGUAUACUGCACACUGACACUGUCACACACUGCGUACACUGACACUGUCACACACUGCGUACACUGCACACUGACACUGUCACACACUGCGUACACUGCACACUGACACCAUCACACACUGCGUAUACUGCACACUGACACUGUCACACACUGCGUACACUGACACUGUCACACACUGCGUACACUGCACACUGACACUGUCACACACUGCGUACACUGCACACUGACACUGUCACACACUGUGUACACUGCACACUGACACUGUCACACACUGCGUAUACUGCACACUGACACUGUCACACACUGCGUACACUGCACACUGACACUGUCACACACUGCACACUGACACCCUCACACACUUUACUCCUUACUGCAUUAUGUGCACUAUGCAGUGACUUUCGGUACACAGUGCAAUGUAUAAUCACUUUAUCUAUUUUAUGUAAUUACAGGAACUGGCAGAAUAUGAAAAAAUUACACACUUUAUCAAACUGACUGAGGAAGGUAAGGAAUGGAAAAAGAGGUUCACUCACAGAUAAUGGGGGUAACAAGAUAAAAAGGGGUUCACUCACAGCGAAUGGGGGUAACAAGAUAAAAAGGGGUUCACUCACAGAGAAUGGGGGUAACAAGAUAAAAAGGGGUU